UGGCCUACGGGGGGCAGCAGUGGGGAAUAUUGGGCAAUGGGCGCAAGCCUGACCCAGCAACGCCGCGUGAAGGAAGAAGGCUUUCGGGUUGUAAACUUCUUUUAAGAGGGAAGAGCAGAAGACGGUACCUCUUGAAUAAGCCACGGCUAACUACGUGCCAGCAGCCGCGGUAAUACGUAGGGGGCGAGUGUUAUCCGGAUUUACUGGGUGUAAAGGGAGCGUAGACGGCAUGGCAAGUCUGGAGUGAAAGCCCGGGGCCCAACCCCGGGACUGCUCUGGAAACUGCCAUGCUAGAGUGCUGGAGG
rnacentral:rRNA from 1 species